GAUACAGAAGGUGAAUAAUGAAAUCCCCUCGCUAGUACUUUAUGAGCCAUGAGAUUGGAAACGUGUACGGACAGAGCAGGGAGCCGGGCAGAGGGGAGAACGGGGCAGCGGGGCUCGGGCUGCGGCAGCCCCCGGGACCAGCAGCGGACAGCGCGGGGCCGGGCCGGGCCGUCCGUGGCACCGCCCCGCGGCCGCUCCGCUCGAUGCCACCGGGAGAGGGGAGCACGGCGCGUCCCGGAGCUGCGGGAGGCGCACGGCUGUGCUCCCCGGGACAGGACGGCAGGUCAGCUCGGGCAGGGAAGAAAACCUCGGUGCCGCGGUUGGAUCUCUGUCUCCUGACACGCAAACCCUCCGUAGGCAGGGAGCGGUCCGCGGGAGAGGAGACCCAAAACUGCCGAUACUCGGCCAAAAUACGGGGAGAGGGCUGAGCGCAGCCUGCCCCGAGGGACCCUGUCCGGCAGCUGCCCCGGCAGGGCCGGCCCCUCCUCCGUGCCGCUGCCCUCGUCCGGGGGGAGCACUGCGCCCGCUCCCACCCCACAGCGCGACUCUGUGCCUGCUCAUGGAAACCCCAGGCGAAGCGUUUUCGGGGUAUUGCCCAAAGCUGCGGGCAAACACUUUGCCCCUUUCCCUUCCUCUGUCCCAAAGUACCCCUCAAAUAACUCGUCUGGUUUAGUUUUUCCUAUUCCCCCUCUCGCUUUCCAAGUCAAGAAAGCCGCCUGCCUGCCUCAUCUACGUCCAUCUGGGAUAGUUUGGGGCCCCCUUCUUCGCCCUCCAAAAAAAAAAUAAAAUAAAAUAAAAGAAAUUAGAAAAAGAAAAACCACCCCCAAACGCGCCGUAUUUCCAAUUCAGAGUUAAAGUCGGCGUUAAUCCGGGUCAGUUCCUGCCCCCGGUUUGAAGGAGGGAGGGUGUAACGUAUGGGCUGUGGGGGGGGGAAACAAAAAGCAGAGCCCCAAAUAAACAAACAAACAAAAAUCUCGCGCACGAUCGUAGUGAACUCAAAUUCCUCUCUGCACACCCACAACUUUCGCUCUGGCCGCUGCCUGGGGGGGUUUAAUCUCGCAAAGAAAAAGGGGGGCUCCCUGCGCAAAAUUACGCCUUCUCCUCUCAUUUGUUCGCUGAUUCCAUCAAAAAGUUCGCUAUUUAUAGGCUACACACCCGAACGUGGAGCGAUACAAACCCUCCCGCGUUGUUCCCCUCGCAGAGCGGCCGGUUCUGGAGCAUCUGCUCGGGGUUGUGCGUGCGCGAGAGGCAGCGGAGAGCGCUCCAUCAGAACGGGCCGAGAGGAGCUCCAGCUGCGAGACUCAUUAAUUGCCGCGAGCCGCUCCGCACAGCCAUUUGGAGUUCGCACGGCUCCUUCCUCCCCGCGAGGAAGGAUAGAACGUGGGCGAGCGCGGGGGAGAAAUGCGCUCGGGCAGAGGAAGGAAGGAAGAAGCGGAGGAGGAGGGGGGUGAGGCGGUCGCGCUGUCCCCCGAGCCCGAGCCGGCGGGGAGCUGGGGACGGGGAGAGCGCGGCUCAGAGCCCUCCCUCCUCCUUACCGGAGCGCUCAGCUCGGCCCCCCAGACAAUUCCCGUGGUAUCAGCGCGGAUAGCGAUCUGUAUUCAUCAAAACCCAUCUGGGAGAAUUAAAAGAGGAAGAAAAAAAAAGAAAGGAGCGGGCUAGAAGGACGCGGGGGCGAUGGCUGCGCGCUAUCUGCGCGCUUCGAGCGCGCGCUGCGCGGAGGGGGUGAGGCUCCUUCCCCUCUCCCUGCGCUCACCCCACGCGCAGCGCCCGGUCGGUUCGAGUGGGGACAAACCCCCCGCGCCCCGUAGGAGGGACGGUGGCUCUUAGCGCGGCUGUGCGCGGGGAGGCGCGGUGCUGCCGGCUCCCUCGCAAGGCUCCAAUGGCACGCCGUUGGGUUAGCGUAGCAUUAAAUUAACAGGGCCGGGGUUAUCCGGGGCAUUAUACAGCGUGCCCGGGCUGUAACCUCCGCUCAUUCAUACACAAAGAAGAGGGAGAGACGAGUUGCGCCUGAGAAUCCAAAGAGCACGGUGAGUGUCGGUGUUCGCUCCUCUCCCUCACGUGCCUGGGAACAAAGUUCAAGGCUGCCUGUGUAGUCUGGGUGUAGGAACCCGGAGCCGGCCGCUCGCCCCAAAGGCUGCGGAGGGACCGCGCGGGCAGCUCCCACCCGGCGGUGCGGGGAGAACGGCGUGCAGGGAAAGUGCCUCCUCUCCGGGGCUAUUUAUAGGUGGCGGUACAGGCUCCUUUUCGAUAAGGAGCCGUGUAAAGAAGCAUCAGGAAACGGCUGAGGGAUUGAUCCGAGGGGCCGGGCUGGACACGCACAGCCACGGCUGCAGGGAGAGGAAAAGGAUCCGCGCUCCGCUGAGCCCGGGUUUGCUCACAAUUCAGCUCCCAAGCGCAGGUACAGCGCGCAGGAGCGCCUUUUCCCUUUUCUUUCAGCCACACACGUAAUAC
rnacentral:lncRNA from 1 species